UUCACGAUGGCCGUGUCAGAGACACUGAGACCCUGGGUCUGGGUGUCUCUCUCUCUCAGGGGGUUCACGAUGGCCGUGUCAGAGACACUGAGACCCUGGGUCUGGGUGUCUCUCUCAGGGGGUUCACGAUGGCCGUGUCAGAGACACUGAGAGUCUGGGUUCAAGCCCUGGGUCUGGGUGUCUCU